rnacentral:rRNA from 1 species
GUGAACCUGCGGAAGGAUCAUUACCGAGUGCGGGCCCUCGUGGCCCAACCUCCCACCCUUGUCUCUCUACACCUGUUGCUUUGGCGGGCCCACUGGGGCUCCCUGGUCGCCGGGGGACGCCUGUCCCCGGGCCCGCGCCCGCCGAAGCGCUUCGUGAACCCUGAUGAAGAAGGGCUGUCUGAGUACUAUGAAAAUUGUCAAAACUUUCAACAAUGGAUCUCUUGGUUCCGGCAUCGAUGAAGAACGCAGCGAAAUGCGAUAAGUAAUGUGAAUUGCAGAAUUCCGUGAAUCAUCGAAUCUUUGAACGCACAUUGCGCCCCCUGGCAUUCCGGGGGGCAUGCCUGUCCGAGCGUCAUUUCUGCCCUCAAGCACGGCUUGUGUGUUGGGUGUGGUCCCCCCGGGGACCUGCCCGAAAGGCAGCGGCGACGUCCGUCUGGUCCUCGAGCGUAUGGGGCUCUGUCACUCGCUCGGGAAGGACCUGCGGGGGUUGGUCACCACCACAUUUUCCAUUAUGGUUGACCUCGGAUCAGGUAGGAGUUACCCGCUGAACUUAAGCAUAUCAAUAAGCGGAGGAA